GGAAGGAAGAAAGGAAGGAAGGAAGGGAGAAAGAAAGAAAAAGAAAGAAAGAAAACGAACGAAAGAAAGAACACAAAUCACCAACUAACUCAGUCUAAGAGUUGACUGGAUUUCAUGAAAAAUGUGCUUUCUUGGAUCUCUCAGUGAAUAAUGAGGUUCCUAUGGGAUAUCAGAGUCAGAACUCGCUCCCGUUGGAAAGGGUGACUCACAGUGAACUCAGCAACUCCAGCUCCAGGCAUCCUGAUGUCCUCUUCCAGCUCCAUGGGUGCAUGGAUUCAUGUGCACAAGUGCAUUCAUUUAUUUUAAUCACCUCCUGAAGGGCCCUACUACCUCUACACAUGACUACAUUGGGAGUUGUUCUGGUUUUGUUCAAUGUCACCCAUGGGCUCACAUGGUAAAGUCUAGUCCACAGCUUGCAGCGUUAUUAGGAGCUGAUAAAGCCUUUAAGAGGUGAGGCUUAGAAGAAGGUCUUCCAGUUAUAGGGAGUGUGCACUCAAUAAAGAUUUAUUGGUUUUCCUCUUUGUCUCUUUCACGCCCUGUAAUGAAGUAGAUGAGUUUUCCCUGCUGCACCUUCUCCAGCGUGAUGCAUUAUUUCCCCACAGUUUCGAAGCCAAAGGUCAACUGGCCACCAACAGAAAGUUCCAGAGCUGUAAGCCAAAAUAAACCUUUCCUCCUCGUAAGCUAAUUAUCUCAACUCUUCUCUAUAGUAGCAGAAAAGUGGCUGACGCAGGAAUCAAACUUUAACAUGAGUUUUGUUGAAAACGAACCAUAUCUAAAUCAUAAAAGUCUGCUCCUAGCGUUUUAUCAUUAUUGCUACUGAUUAUUAUUAUUAUUAUUAUUAUUAUUAUUAUUAUUAUUAUUUCUUCCUUAAAGGAGCACCUUUGCUUCUUGGUGGAGAUAAGACUCAGAAGUAACCAUAUCUCAGCCCUCAGGGAAAGCGAGCUAGAAACACCCUCUAUUAAACAUUGGAUAAAAAAGAGUUCUUCAGUGGAAAAA
rnacentral:sRNA from 1 species